UACGUAGGGGGCAAGCGUUGUCCGGAAUCAUUGGGCGUAAGAGCGUGUAGGCGGUUCGGUAAGUCGGCUGUGAAAGUCCCAGGGCUCAACCCUGGGAUGCCGGUCGAUACUGCCGGACGUAGAGUUCGGAAGAGGCGAGUGGAAUCCCGGGUGUAGCGGUGAAAUGCGCAGAUAUCAGGAGGAACACCAAUUGCGAAGGCAGCUCGCUGGGACGGUACUGA
rnacentral:rRNA from 1 species